GGCUUAGAGUUUGAUCAUGGCUCAGGACGAACGCUGGCGGCGUGCUUAACACAUGCAAGUCGAACGGACCCCGGCAACGGGGUUAGUGGCGGACGGGUGAGUAACACGUGAGCAACCUGCCCUGUACAACGGGAUAACACAGAGAAAUUUGUGCUAAUACGGUAUAAGACCACACGGAGGCAUCUCCGAGGGGUAAAAGCUGAGGCGGUACAGGAGGGGCUCGCGGCCCAUUAGAUAGUUGGUGAGGUAACGGCCCACCAAGUCGACGAUGGGUAGCCGACCUGAGAGGGUGAUCGGCCACAUUGGAACUGAGAUACGGUCCAAACUCCUACGGGAGGCAGCAGUGGGGAAUAUUGGGCAAUGGAGGCAACUCUGACCCAGCAACGCCGCGUGAAUGAAGAAGGCCUUCGGGUUGUAAAGUUCUUUAAUGGGGAACGAAGAAAGUGACGGUACCCCAAGAAUAAGCCACGGCUAGCUACGUGCCAGCAGCCGCGGUAAUACGUAGGUGGCAAGCGUUGUCCGGAAUGACUGGGCGUAAAGGGAGCGUAGGCGGCGCAACAAGUUAGGAGUGAAAUCCCGGGGCUUAACUCCGGAACUGCUUUUAAAACUGUUGUGCUUGAGUGAUGGAGAGGAAAGCG
rnacentral:rRNA from 1 species